rnacentral:rRNA from 1 species
GAUCAUGGCUCAGGAUGAACGCUAGCUACAGGCUUAACACAUGCAAGUCGAGGGGCAUCAGUUUGGUUUGCUUGCAAACCAAAGCUGGCGACCGGCGCACGGGUGAGUAACACGUAUCCAACCUACCGGUUAUUCCGGGAUAGCCUUUCGAAAGAAAGAUUAAUACCGGAUAGUAUAACGAGAAGGCAUCUUCUUGUUAUUAAAGAAUUUCGAUAACCGAUGGGGAUGCGUUCCAUUAGUUUGUUGGCGGGGUAACGGCCC